GAUGAACGCUGGCGGCGUGCUUAACACAUGCAAGUCGAACGGAAAGGCCAGUGCUUGCACUGGUACUCGAGUGGCGAACGGGUGAGUAACACGUGGGUGAUCUGCCCUGUACUUCGGGAUAAGCUUGGGAAACUGGGUCUAAUACCGGAUAGGACAACUUUUUGGAUAUUGUUGUGGAAAGCUUUUGCGGUAUGGGAUGAGCUCGCGGCCUAUCAGCUUGUUGGUGGGGUAAUGGCCUACCAAGGCGUCGACGGGUAGCCGGCCUGAGAGGGUGUACGGCCACAUUGGGACUGAGAUACGGCCCAGACUCCUACGGGAGGCAGCAAUGGGGAAUAUUGCACAAUGGGCGCAAGCCUGAUGCAGCGACGCCGCGUGGGGGAUGAAGGCCUUCGGGUUGUAAACUCCUUUCGCUAGGGACGAAGCUUUUUUGUGACGGUACCUGGAGAAGAAGCACCGGCUAACUACGUG
rnacentral:rRNA from 1 species